rnacentral:misc_RNA from 1 species
GAUGAAGAACGUAGCGAAAUGUGAUACUUGGUGUGAAUUGCAGAAUCCCGUGAACCAUCGAGUCUUUGAACGCAAGUUGCGCCUCAAGCCAUUAGGUUGAGGGCACGUCUGCCUGGGCGUCACAUAUCGUUGCCUGAUGCCAGUUUCCUCGUGAUGGGUGACUGUGCAGGGCGAAUGAUGGCUUCCCGUGAGCAUUGUUGCCUCAUGGUUGGUUGAAAAUUGAGUCCUUGGUAGGGAGCGCCGUGAUAAAUGGUGGUUGAGUGACGAACGAGACCCAAUCAUGUGAGACCCCUACCGAAUUUGGCCUUCAUGACCCACAUGCGUCUUUGGAACGCUCAUGACGAGACCUCAGGUCAGGCGGGGCUACCCGCUGAGUUUAAGCAUAUCAAUAAGCGGAGGA